UCAUCCCAGAGGGACCAACAAAACUGUACCCCAACCCAUACAAAGCUUUUACUUUGGCUAAUUUAUAUUGAUGUAUUGGUUUAACAGACUUUUUGGCAGUCCAACAUGGACUAGUUUGAUAUUGCAUUUUUUAAACUUACAUCUCACCUGCUGGCAUUAUUUGAACAAUUGUAACUUCAUUUACAACAGAAAUGACAUUUAAAUAAUGUAGUUCAAAAAAAGGAAUGGAACACACAAUUGUAAUAUGUGUGUCAUUAUCUUUUUACAAUAUGGAAGAUAUCUGCAUUUACUAAUCAAUAAUGUUCUUUAUAUUAUUUGUUUGUAAUGAUACAGAGGUAAAAUGAAAGUAACUAUAUUUUUCAUACAUUUUUUAACAAGGUUAUUAUCACAAAAUGGCACCUCUCCUCACGCUCCUCAAUAGAUUAGGUUUAACAUUUGAAAACCAAACAAAAUGUGUGUUUGUCAUAACACUAAAAAACAAAUAACUUUUAGAUCUUGAUUACUUCCCCUUUUAAUCUCUAGACACUGUCCAAUAUUUUGAAUCAUUCCUCUAGUCACACCUUUCAGAGAACAACUAGUCUAUUAGUGUUGAGAAAGUCAGUUGAUAAAAGAAAACAAACAUGACUAUGUCAGUUGUUUUUGUCUUUACUUUGUGUAAUAUAACAUUUGACACUUGUUUCUGUUCACAAUGGUCACCACAUUGCUGUAGUCACAUGCCUUUUCUUACUGACUGCAAGUAUCAACUCUUAGAGUGAAGCAAUACAAAAACUUGUUCAUUGAAAUAAAUACACGAAUGUGGACGUCG